GUGCCCUCCGUGAUUGGUGUCUCGGGGCUGCGUUCAGACACCGAGGAAUAUCCUGUCAUGUGCCGCCACUGCUGCUAAAGGAACAGAAACAAAAGCAUCUCGGCUCAAAUAAUGUCUUCCACUUUCCCAGUAGGUUGAUGGAUUUUUCCCUCUGAAGAUGUUUGUCCUCCACAAAAAAAACGCUCACUAACUAAACGACCAAAUGACAAAUGGCCAGGCUCAAAGUGAUUCAAGACGCACCGCGUGCCUCAGGCAAAGAAGCUGGAAAUGUGUGAGUGUGCGCGCUAAAUAUAACCAGCCCCGGAGAGCGCCCUCCCAGAAGGGCUGGUGCUCAACUUCUAACAUAACUCAGAGAGCAGAGAGCGACCCGUACGCUAAACAAACUUUACGCGGGCUUCGAUUACUCGGAGUAUGGAGGAGGAGGUCAGUCUGAGAGAGAGCCAGACGAGUGUACAGCGAUGGGAGAGGAGGAGGAGGGAGCGAGCAGGAGCCAGCGCGGGCCGGUCGGAGAAGAAGGAGUGCCCGUCGCAGACAUGAAGGAGGAAGAGGAGUCACGUGACCACAAGGCAGAUGAGGGCCAGGUUAUUUGAUUGGCUGACAAGUGGACUUAUCUCGCUGUCAGCCGACGCGCAUCGAUCAGUAUUGAACUGUGAUUGACAGGUCACAGUUCUUGAGUGGCAGAGACAUUGCCGUGUGUUUGGAUUUCUUGCGGUUCAACACUGUUACACAGAAUUUUUAUACGGAGUUCACGAGUGUCCUUUUGAAAAUCAUUGUUUUGAAAAUUCAUUAUUUGCUCAGUUUAAAAGCCAUGUCAACAAUAUUGGGAGCAGCCAUAUGUGCCCAGAUCCCAGAAGCCUUGCUUCGAACAUGUUGGGUUUGUCUGGAGCGCCGCGUUCAAUUUUGAGGCUAUGUUUAUACCGGUCGUUGAUUUCUUCUCUGCAAAACCAAUUGUUUUUCCUUAAAUCUUGCACAUUUCUGUGUUUGGUCUGCUUCACCUCAGAUGAAUGGGACUCGGAUGUGACGGGUUUGACUGACUGUGGAACCUACGACGUACCUCAGACUGUAAGGGACCGAGCUACAUAGGGAUCGGCUCGAUGAGGUCUACACAGGGAAAACACUGCAGACCUUUGGACCUUUUUUGCCUUCAAACCUGAUGGCAAAUCACGCUACCUGGUGCCAUAACGUGUCAACGGAAACUAGGAUCGUGUUUGGUCAAUCAUAAAGGGCUGAUUAUGGUUCCAGGUCGACACAACGCAAGGACCACGCAGACGCUUCGACGUAGUCGUGAACCUGUUUUGGUUCUGCGUCGGGUUUUAGUGAGCGGACCAAUCACAGCCCUUGUUGCUGCGUCGCUUCAACUCAAGGUUAGAAUUUUUGGGAGGCGUACGCCUGGCCCUUGCGGUGGACGCAAGGAGGGUCCGCAAGGACACAAUGGGUCCGUAAACCCCCUUGCGUUGCGACAACGUGGAACCAUAAUCAGCCCUUAAGACCUUGUGGCCCUGGCACAACAUUUAUUUUGUUCAUCAGUGUAAAGCGGUGUGACUGUAAUACCAGAAGUCUUUUGUUGUCUGCUACACAAUGUGAAAUCAGUCUCUCUUUUCUUUUUUUUUGAAGCCAGUACAAUUUGGUUUUGUGGAUGUUUGAUAAUGUAUUUUGAUUAUUAUUUUUUUUUUAUUAUUAUUGAUUAUUGAUUCCUAAAGCAUAUAUGUCCUAACCUAAUUGCUUACUCAGGCUUCUGUUUAUGAUCAGCAGAGCUCUGGACUCAAUAUUUCGACCAUGUUUAAACAAUGAAUGCUUUGAAUGUUUGGAUUUUAUAUUUGACAGUAAAAGGACACUAUAUAUUAGUGUAUAGAUAUUGAAUGUGAAAGAUUCUGUUGUCAUUGGCGCAAUUAUUCUUUUUACAAAACAUUAUUGCCAACAGUUUCCCAUUGGAUCCUUCCUUUAUGAACAUAAACUUCAUAAACUCUGUCUCACUUAUAAAAACAUAAGACCUGAGUAAC
ensembl:lncRNA